AUUGAACGCUGGCGGCAGGCCUAACACAUGCAAGUCGAACGAGGGGCGGACGGGUGAGUCAUGUCUGGGAAACUGCCCGAUGGAGGGGGAUAAAUACUGGAAACGGUAGCUCAUACCGCAUACCAUCGGAUGUGCCAAGAGGGGAUUAGCUAGUAGGUGGGGUAACGGCUCACCUAGGAGACGAUCCCUAGCUGGUAUGAGAGGAGGAACAGCCACGUGGGAACUGAGACAUGGUCCAGACUCCUACGGGAGGCAGCAGUGGGGAAUAUUGCACAAUGGGCGCAAGCCUGAUGCAGCCAUGCCGCGUGUAUGAAGAAGGCCUUCGGGUUGUAAAGGUCUGUCAGCGAGGAGGCGUUACUCGCAGAAGAAGCACCGGCUAACUCCGUGCCAGCAGCCGCGGUAAUAC
rnacentral:rRNA from 1 species